rnacentral:rRNA from 1 species
UGAGGAAUUUUGCGCAAUGGGGGCAACCCUGACGCAGCAACGCCGCGUGAGCGAAGAAGGCCUUCGGGUUGUAAAGCUCUGUCUAGUGGGAAAAAACUCCUGGUGUGAAUAGCGCCAGGGUCUGAUGGUACCGCUGGAGGAAGCACCGGCUAACUCUGUGCCAGCAGCCGCGGUAAGACAGAGGUGGCGAGCGUUGUUCGGAAUUACUGGGCUUAAAGGGCGAGUAGGCGGUAGAGCAAGUCUGAGGUGGAAUCCUAUGGCUUAACCAUAGAACUGCCUUAGAAACUGCUUUACUUGAGUCAGUGAGGGGAGGGCGGAAUUCCUGGUGUAGCGGUGAAAUGCGUAGAUAUCAGGAGGAAGGCCUGUGGCGAAAGCGGCCCUCUGGCACUGUACUGACGCUGUGGCGCGAAAGCGUGGGGAGCAAACAGGAUUAGAUACCCUGGUAGUCCACGCCCUAAACGGUGGGCAUUAGGUGUAGGGCUCGUAAGGGUUCUGUGCCGAAGGGAAACCAUUAAAUGCCCCGCCUGGGGAGUACGGCCGCAAGGUUG